rnacentral:rRNA from 1 species
CAGCAGCCGCGGUAAAACGAAGGGUGCAAGCGUUACUCGGAAUUACUGGGCGUAAAGCGUGCGUAGGUGGUGGUUUAAGUCCGUUGUGAAAGCCCUGGGCUCAACCUGGGAAUUGCAGUGGAUACUGAGCAACUAGAGUAAGGUAGAGGAUAGUGGAAUUUCCGGUGUAGCAGUGAAAUGCGUAGAGAUCGGAAGGAACAUCUGUGGCGAAGGCGACUAUCUGGGCCAUUACUGACACUGAGGCACGAAAGCGUGGGGAGCAAACAGGAUUAGAUACCCCCGUAGUCCCUGUCUCUUAUAC